UUUUUUCUUUCAAUUUAGAUAAAAAAGAACAGAAAUGCAUGCAAAAGAAGAGAUGUUUCAUAUAGUGGUAUAAAAAGAUGAAAAAAUAUGAUCAUGCAUGGCUGGUACACCCAGAUGGAGAAACAACUUUGGUUCAUUUGAAUCUCUACAAGUUUGACUCAUAUCUGUCUUCAAAAACAAUCGUAUCAAAGAAUUUGAACAUUGAAAAACCAACUGAAGUCAUUAUGAAAUAUGUAGAAACUGAUAACAGAUUUAAAAUAACAAUUAUAAAAAAUGAAAAAGAUGAUAUCUUGAAGACAAUACUAAUUGCUGCUGUUGCAGAAAAUUCCAAAACUCAAGCAAGAACACAAUUAACCUUUAACUCUGCUAUAAGUGAUUCACAUUUGUUGGAUUUCAAUUUUGAUGGUGCUUACAAAUGAGACAAGAAAGUUACAAAAGCAAAUGCAAGCAGAAAUUAGUGCAGGUAGAGUUCAAUAUGUCAACUACCAAACCACUAAUAACAUUUGGUUGGCCAAGAAUUAGAAAUUAUUAUAAAUGGAAUGAAAAUCAAAGUCUUACAUUUCACUACUAUGGUCAAGAUACUUUUCUUAUGAUCGUUUGUGAGUUUGAACAAAAUGAGUCUCCAUCUUCUUUUCCUCAAUAUCAUAGUUUGAGUACAAAUCUUGAUGAUUAUCGUUCUUUCCUACUUGUGAUAAAGGAAUCCCAUC
rnacentral:lncRNA from 1 species